rnacentral:lncRNA from 1 species
CUCGGGUAACUUUUCAAGCAACAAACAAUGAUCAAGUUGGAGAAAAGUUAAACGUUUCAACAUACAAAUGCUAUCGGGUAGAUGCUUAAUCUUUGCGGAUGACAAAGUGAGCAUCCUUAAACUUUCUAAUUCGCCAAUACCUUCAGGUAACUUUUCAAGAAGCCAACAGAAUUCAAGUCUGAGAUAUUGCAGAUGUUUCAACAUACAAAUGCUAUCGGGUAGAUGCUUAAUCUUUGCAGAUGACAAAGUGAGUAUCCUUAAACUUUCUAAUUCGCCAAUACCCUCAGGUAACUUUUCAAGAAGCCAACAGAAUCCAAGUCUGAGAUAUCGCAGAUGUUUCAACAUACAAAUGCUAUCCGGAAGAUGUUUAAUUGUUGUAGAUUGCAAAGUUAGCUUCUCUAAACAUUCUAACCGGCCAAGAUCCUCAGGUAACCUC